AUUGGUGUAGUCUAGUGGUUAGUACAGUUCGUUGGGGAAAUACAACUUCCGAUGCGACCCAUGUUCCAUUCAUGGUACUGACG